rnacentral:tRNA from 1 species
ACCUGGCUGGCUCAGUUGGUAGAGCAUGUGACUCUUGAUUUCAGGGUUGUGGGUUCAAGCCCCAUGUUGAGUG